rnacentral:rRNA from 1 species
UACGUAGGGUCCGAGCGUUGUCCGGAGUUACUGGGCGUAAAGCGCGCGCAGGUGGUCCAUUAAGCCCGGCGUGAAAGCCCCCGGCUCAACCGGGGAGGGUCGUCGGGGACUGGUGGACUUGAGGGCGGCAGGGGCUGGUGGAAUCCCCGGUGUAGUGGUGAAAUGCGUAGAGAUCGGGGGGAACACCCGUGGCGAAGGCGGCCAGCUGGGCCGACCCUGACACUGAGGCGCGAAGGCGUGGGGAGCGAACAGG